AGAGUUUGAUCCUGGCUCAGAACGUACGCUGGCGGCACGCCUUAUACAUGCAAGUCGAACGAAGUAGUAAUACUUAGUGGCAGACGGGUGAGUAACAUGUGGGUAUCUUCCCUUUGGUGAGGAAUAACACGAGGAAACUUGUGCUAAUACCUCAUAAGUCUUUACGGAGAAAGCUUUAUGCGCCAAUGGAUGAGCCCGCACUUGAUUAGUUUGUUGGUGGGGUAAUGGCCUACCAAGACUGUGAUCAAUAGCUGAUUUGAGAGGAUGAUCAGCCACAUUGGGACUGAGACACGGCCCAAACUCCUACGGGAGGCAGCAGUAAGGAAUCUUGCACAAUGGAGGAAACUCUGAUGCAGCGAUGCCGCGUGAGUGAAGAAGGCCUUUGGGUUGUAAAGCUCUUUCGUCGGGGAAGAAAAUGACUGUACCCGAAUAAGAAGGUCCGGCUAACUUCGUGCCAGCAGCCGCGGUAAUACGAAGGGACCUAGCGUAGUUCGGAAUUACUGGGCUUAAAGAGUUCGUAGGUGGUUAAAAAAGUUGGUAGUGAAAUCCCAGAGCUUAACUCUGGAACUGCUAUCAAAACUUUUUAGCUAGAGUAUGAUAGAGGAAAGCAGAAUUUCUAGUGUAGAGGUGAAAUUCGUAGAUAUUAGAAAGAAUACCAAUUGCGAAGGCAGCUUUCUGGAUCAUUACUGACGCUGAGGAACGAAAGCAUGGGUAGCGAAGAGGAUUAGAUACCCUCGUAGUCCAUGCUGUAAACGAUGUGUGUUAGACGUUGGAAAUUUAUUUUCAGUGUCGCAGCGAAAGCGAUAAACACACCGCCUGGGGAGUACGACCGCAAGGUUAAAACUCAAAUGAAUUGACGGGGACCCGCACAAGUAGUGGAGCAUGUGGUUUAAUUCGAAGAUACGCGCAGAACCUUACCAACACUUGACAUGUUCGUCGCGACUUUAAGAGAUUAAAGUUUUCGGUUCGGCCGGACGAAACACAGGUGCUGCAUGGCUGUCGUCAGCUCGUGUCGUGAGAUGUUGGGUUAAGUCCCGCAACGAGCGCAACCCUCACUUUUAGUUGCCACCAUUUAGUUGGGCACUCUGAAAGAACUGCCAGUGAUAAGCUGGAGGAAGGUGGGGAUGACGUCAAGUCCUCAUGGCCCUUACGUGUUGGGCUACACACGUGCUACAAUGGCAUUUACAAUAGGAUGCAAGAUGGCGACAUCAAGCAAAUCCUAAAAAGAUGCCUCAGUUCGGAUUGCACUCUGCAACUCGAGUGCAUGAAGCUGGAAUUACUAGUAAUCGCGUAACAGCAUGACGCGGUGAAUACGUUCCCGGGCCUUGUACACACCGCCCGUCACACCAUGGGAAUUGGUUUUACCCGAAGACUGUGUGCUAACCUUUUGGAGGCAGCAGGCCACGGUAAGAUCAGUGACUGGGGUGAAGUCGUAACAAGGUAACC
rnacentral:rRNA from 1 species